rnacentral:rRNA from 1 species
UACGUAGGGUGCAAGCGUUGUCCGGAUUUAUUGGGCGUAAAGAGCCCGCAGGCGGCCUGGCUAGUCUCAGGUGAAAUCUCCCGGCUCAACUGGGAGAGGUCCUGGGAAACUGCCAGGCUUGAGGCAGGGAGAGGGAUGUGGAAUUCCCGGUGUAGUAGUGAAAUGCGUAGAUAUCGGGAGGAACACCCGUGGCGAAAGCGGCCUUCUGGACCGUACCUGACGCUCAGACGCGAAAGCUAGGGGAGCAAACGGG